GCCCGCGUGCCUGAGGGGGUCGUUCGCGCCCGGGGGUCCGUGAGGCCGCCUCGGGGGUGUGUCCAUGGACAGCGCGGGUGUCCAGCCUCGGUGUCCAGCCCCCGCCCUACCCCGCGGUACCGCCCCGGGCCCGGUCCGGCCCCGCCCCGCGCCACCGGGGGUGCCCCUCGAGAGCCACUAGCAGCAGCCUUCCACAGCUCUUCGCAGCCCUCCCGAGGAAAGCAGUACAACUUUGAAUAGCCUUUAAGCCCUACUGUUGAUCUCAAAAGAAAUAAAAGAAAUUCGAGGAGCAGUUUUGGACAAAAUACAGUUAAUUCACCUGAAGCUGCUGUUUAAUCGGACAUUGUGUACCUGGUUGUUUGCAGCUGUGCCUCCAGCCUGCUUCCCCUGACUGCCCACAGUGCAGCCUGUGGGAUGGCCACAGUCACCUCAUCAAGGGGAAAUACAGAUGUGGUCACUGCCAGAAGGACCGUGUCACGUGAUGUCCCGGACAUUAUCAGCCUCUUCAGCCCUGUCACAGAAGACCUCUUUGGAAGGAUUGAUGUCACUUACCUUUUAGAAUUAUCAAAUCUUGCUUUGACGCUCUGCAAUGAGAAGAAUGAGGUUAUCGCUCAUGCUGCCUUUCUGGACUAUCCGAAUUGGAAUAUUACCGAUCAGGCUGAAUGGGAACCAUUCCUGCAUGAAAACUACACUAACAAUAAGUGCACUCCUUUGAACACGCUCUUCGUGCAUCUCUUUGUGGCAAAGGAAGAUUAUGCAGCUGGAUGUUCCCAAGAAAUUGUUAGGAGAGCUUUCAUCUUACUACCAGAACUGCAGUUUAUACUUCUCUUUAUACCACCUGAGGAGAGGUUAGGUUUUAGUCAUUCAGAGCUGGACAUGGGGAACGUCUUUGAAAGGAUCAUGCCUGUUCCAGGCUCACCCAUGGAGAGAGGUUUCACCUUGCUGGCAUGCCCAAGGCAUCGGUGUCACCCACAGCUGUAUGUGCGCCAAGCAAGGAUGGAAGAUUAUGAUGAUCUCAUGCUAAUCUGGACACCUCAAAGUGAGACUCUGAAGGAAACCUAUGGUGAAUAUCUUCUUGUUGAUCUCAUAGAAUGUGAAGGUGAAGAAAAUCAGGCAGCUGUUUGUGAGGUUGAUGGCAUUGCAGUAGGAUUCAUGAGCUUAUGUUCUGACGUGGACGUUUCCUUGUUUCAAGAAUGUUUUGACUUAGGGCCUUUCCAUGGACUCUGUAAACCACAUCCUGAGGAUAUUCUCAAAGUGCCACGGAAGCCAAGCAUUCAAGGAGAUAAAGAUGAAAACAACCAAACAAGUCAAAAGCCAAAGCCUGUUUCUUCUCAAAACUUGGAACAUGUUCCUGGUGCAGAUGCAGCUGUGCAGAAAGAUGGAGCCGUGACCGUUUCCCAGACUGAACUGCCGGUAGGUAAUGUCAUCAAUGUAGGCCCUAAAGGCUCAGCAGCACCUCUGUUGGAGACUGAGGAGGAGGGGGAUUUGCAUCCUGUGUACAGAGGAGCUUCAAAUGUUUUCCGUAUCCGUCUGCUUUGUAUCGAUGAAAAGUAUGAAACUAGGUCACUGGAUUUUUUGCAUUAUGCUUUCAACGUUUUCCCAGACAGAGACUUGUGUGUCAUCCUGGUGCCACAUCAUGUCCCAGAGUUCCCCCUGAUCCGGAGCUUUGUUCGGGCUGUCCCUUCCUGCACUUCCAGGCUGGGUCAGGAGCUGUAUGUGUUCCACCGAGCAGGAUUGCUCACGUCAUUUAAUGUAAGAAAAGCAGCAACCAGUGACCUACAAGGUAUCAAAGUGCUCAUUAAAACUCUUAGCUUGAAUGAAAGGAUAUGGAAUGACUCAAAGAUAUUCACUGAAGCUCGCAGGGAUCCAGAUGGGGUGCCAGUACAGGCUUUCGUAGCAGAAGUUUUGGAUCAGAUCGUUGGUGUUUCUGUCACUAGGGAUGAAAUGGAUAUUGAGUAUAUUCAGUCACAUUACAAUAUUGAGGACUUCAUUCAUUUUAAUCACCACCAGCAAGAGGAACAUGGACAUCUUUGCCACUUUGUCUUGAAUCCUGUAUUUCAUCACUAUACAAAAUACUUUCUAAAGGAGAUUCUUCGCUUGGGUCACAAGUCUUCUCUUUACUACCCUAUUUAUCCAGAAUAUGUGGAGGACAAGUUCCAGCAUCCCUGUGCUCAUUCCCUGACAUCUGCCCUUCAUUACAUGGCUCCCGUGCGGCCGAGACGACAGAUUGUCUAUCCUCUGCGAGGACUUGGCGUAAACGCUCCGUUGGAGCAAGUCUCCAAGGAUCAGCUGAAAUAUUCUUUGAACCACACAAAUCGAAGGCUGGUGCUGGAAUCAAAAGUGUGUAUCAACACUAGAAUUGUGGUGGUUGGUGCAUCUGAUGUUGGAAUCUCCUUUCUGGAAACACUGAUUUUUUGGCCGCAUCUGAAAUUCAACAACCUGACCUUGAUUUCCAUUCAUGGCCUUCCAGGAAAAGACCCACAGAGCUCCAAGUAUAGAAGAUUUUUAAUUAACAGCCACUGUUUUGAUGAUGAAGAUUAUGCACAGAUGUCACUUUGUUCCUGGGUUAAUGUUGUGGUUGGUAAAAUGACGGGCAUAAACCGCAGUGCCAAAUACGUUGUUGUUUCCAAGGAGAAGAAAGUGCCCUACGACUACCUGGUUUUGUGCACAGGACAGAGCUACCAGGCCUUGGCUCCCUUGGGAGCAGAUAUCAGUGAAGUCACGAGUCUGUGGCCACAGAGAUACAUGGAGAAAGUCCCUUCCAAUCACUUCACUCUCAAUGACGCUCAGGACUGCUUGGAGGCAGCACUCUGGCUGGAGGAAAACCUCAUCAGCUCCAGAGGGAAUGUCAUUGUCUAUGGGAAUACAAUUGACAUUUACACCACGGUAGAAACUCUCUUAUCCUUUGGGAUUGAUGGUUCCCGCAUCCAUCUUGUGCAGGCUCCGCUCAGCUCUGCUAGUCCCUGCCUUGCAGACACCACCCUAGAGUGCACGGUGGGGGAGGCCCUGGCAGAGGCAGGCGUGGCUGUGCACCCAGACAGCGUCCUGGCACACUGGGGCCAGGGUGACCAUGGCCUCAUCACCUGGGCUGCCUUCACCACUGCCUCAAACCUCCUCCAACUGCAGUGCUCAGCAUUUUUUAGCUUUGCCUACAGGACACUGGAUUAUGAAACCUUUAAGGCUGUCAGUGAUGCUUGCCUUGUUUUUGAUGGAAGAAUUGUGAUUGAUGCCAAAUUCCACACCAAUGAUGCCAGCAUCAGGGCUGCAGGUCCUCUGACAAAGUUCUCCAGGAGAUACUUUAGGGAUGAAUUAACACACAGCAACUUCAACUCCAAGGAGAUUGGCUUUGAGCUUGCUGCUUCCAUGCUGAGUCUCUUUGAUUCAAUCCCUCAGCCCAGUUCCGAGACACCAGAAGGCUCAGACAGACUCAUCCCCAUAUACAGAAGGUGUAAAGUUCAAGGUGGUGUUCUUCCUGGAGGUUAUAAUUACUUGCACAUUUCCAAGCCCGGAAUCCCCAUGCCCUUGGAUGUAGAACAUGACAUGUAUGAUCAUGGGAUGGAGAUUGUAACCGGGGAGGCUGGUCAUGGGAAUUACUUCAGGAUGCACUUCAGCAGAUACAAUAUGGUGGACAGCAUCACCUGCUUUUCCAAGGAACCCUUCCCUGUCUCCAACUACAUCUGCUUGUACGGACAGCACGAGCGCCUCCUCAAUGACCUGUAUUACCGCUGGAGGGCCGGGCAGCUCACAGACCUCUACAGCUACUUCAGGGAACCUUGGUCCUUAGCCAUCUAUCACGAUCAGUAUAUUGAUCUGCAGAAGGAACUGCACCAAACCCUGAUGUCAGAACAGGUGCCCGGGCAGCCCACUGCCACCAAGCAGCACCCUGAGCAGAAACUCGGCCCACCAUCGCUUUGGGAACCCGUCCUUCACUACCUGCGCCACCACCGUGCCCACCUGCCUGUGUACGCCCCGACCGAUGCCUACAGACUGCUGUUGGCUGCAGGCAGCCAGGGACUGAAGCCAGGCAGAGCUGGGCACAGUGGUGGCAGCAGGAGCCCCACACCAGCACAGGAAACCUCCUAGGAGUGCAUCCUCCUGACAUGGUUCCUUCACUGACAGAAAACCAACAGAAAGCAAAACCCAGCUGUGAGGCAGAAAAUCAAACCAGUUCUCCAAGCCCUCAGUGGCAGAGGUUCCUUCCUGCAGCUGCACCACCAGGUGCGAGGAGGACACCCUAAGUCCUCAGAAGCCUUCAGCUGUGUUGCACUCUGGCUAGAGACAGGUCACAGUCUGCUGGGACAAGGUGAGGAGGUUACCCAGUUCUUCACACUGUGCUGGGAAGGGGUCAUGGUGCUGGGAAGGGGUCAUGGCAGGAGUGUGGCUUUUGUUCUUCUAAAAAGGAUUUGCUUAUUUUUGUUUCUCUAGGGAGCAGUUCCAGUGCACAGCCAUUGCACACACCACAGAAAGGCCACAGCACUCCUGCAGUGGGACAGCACUAACUGGAGAGCUCCUCCCUCAUCCAGCAAACAUUCACUACCUGGCCAGUCACAGGAAAACCUCUCUUUAGAAGAAAUUCCCUAAUGCACUGGCAUCAGGUGGACAUCUUGCUGAGGGUGCUAGCAGAGUGGCAGAGCUUCCUGGAGACCCUGCUCCUGGAGGCACUUGGCAGCGUGGGCGAGGGCGGCUCCACCAGCUCGAUGCCAGUGGUGUCAAUGAGGUCAGCGCUUGCUGACUUGUGAUGAGGCAGCCUGGAAAACAGAGUGGGCAAGGAAAACCCAGGUCAGGACAAAACAGCCUGUGUCCUCAGAAGAACUGUGUGACACAGUGCAGCCCCUCCCAUCUUCCCAGCCUCUCAUGGGGAUCACUCAGGUGAACUUGACCUCCAGAGGAGGAAUUUGCUGUAGGCAGCUGAAGAACUGCCAUACUGCGCUUCCCAGAGAAAUCAGGGACUUCUCUUUGCCAGCUCCCAGAAGUGAGGAGCAGAGAGGCCGUAAGUGUCCAGAGAGCUGGAAACAAGCAUUCCCAGCAUGAGGGCUGGCACAGAACUCUCCUGGAAGGUGUCUUAACCUCUGGGAAAAUCCUACAGAAUCACUAUUUCUUGCACUACAUAACAGGUAGGAGGGAGAAACAGCCUUGCAGCCAGGCAGGGAGAGCACAGGAAUGUUCUGAACUCUCUCUGAAGGCUGGCACCAUUGGCACACCCUCUGAACCACCUGAGAGACAGUUGUGUUUUGAAGCAUAGACCUACUUCCAAUGCCACAACUGACUCUAUUCUCAGCUGUGCCUGGCCAGGCCACAAGUCUUCAAUCCUCUCUUCACCUUCCUGGCCCAGGUAAAUCCCAAACGUGUGCAAAAUACCCCAGACCACAGCCAGGAGCUGAGCUAACCCUCGGAUACAG